UACGUAGGGUGCGAGCGUUGUCCGGAUUUAUUGGGCGUAAAGCGUGCGUAGGCGGCUGCGCAAGUCGGGUGUGAAACCCCGGGGCUCAACCUCGGAACUGCAUCCGAUACUGCGUGGCUAGAGGUAGGUAGGGGAGAUCGGAAUUCCUGGUGUAGCGGUGAAAUGCGCAGAUAUCAGGAGGAACACCGGUGGCGAAGGCGGCCUUCUGGACAGCAACUGACGCUGAGACGCGAAAGCGUGGGGAGCAAACAGG
rnacentral:rRNA from 1 species